rnacentral:rRNA from 1 species
CAGCAGCCACGGGAAUACGUAGGCGGCAAGCGUUGUCCGGAAUUAUUGGGCGUAAAGCGCGCGCAGGCGGAUCAGUUAGUCUGUCUUAAAAGUUCGGGGCUUAACCCCGUGAUGGGAUGGAAACUGCUGAUCUAGAGUAUCGGAGAGGAAAGUGGAAUUCCUAGUGUAGCGGUGAAAUGCGUUGAGAUCGGAAAGAACACCAACGGCGAAAGCACUCUGCUGGGCCGACACUGACACUGAGAGACGAAAGCUAGGGGAGCAAAUGGGAUUAGAUACCCGGUAGUCCCUGUCUCUUAUACAC